rnacentral:lncRNA from 1 species
GUAAAACUUAGGAGGGUCUCUCUGAACCCCAAAUGGAGGCCUUAGCCUGUUCUGUGUCCAGCCAGCCCGUGCCAUGCCGCUCUUUCCGGCCAGUGACCUUGGUUCAUUCUCCUGGAUGAAAAGCACCUGUGGGAGCCCUCCCCGUUCUUGGAAGGAAGCUGCUGUUUCUCAAGAGAGGGCUUCUUUGUGUAGCCAGUAGUCCAGACAGAUGCUUCUUGGACACUGUCUUGGUACUGAGCAAGACCAGCUCUCUCUUCCUGACGAUCAGAGAAGCGACGGUAUUAUAUGUCUCCGUAUGAUGGACAGCCUUAUGGGCCUCAGCUCCCACAUGGACCUACCGCAGAGUGAGCGAUAUAGGCUCAAAGAACAGCAGGCAGAAGAUGGGACUCCAAGCAACCAGGUAUCUUGGCUGGCACAUGGCUUCUGUUGUGGUUCAAUCUGAAGAGUUGGAAUGGAGAAGGAGCCAUCCACCCUCAGCGGGACCCUUUCUUUGGGGGACGAGCCAACAGAGAAACAUUGGCUACUUUAACCACCUUAAAGCGGACUCCAGUAAUAUCACCUACAGCAUGACCUUUUCGACCAAAUCCAGCAACCAGAACUU